rnacentral:lncRNA from 1 species
UCGAUAUGGGGUGCUGGUGGUGGGGGGCUUGCCCUAGGCAUGCCUAGAGGAAAGCCAUGCCCGGAAGUCGUUGCUCAAAGAGGAUCCGGUGACGAUGGUAUUCCGGUGAUAUUUUCUAAUUCGGACUCCAACGAUGGCGUUGUUCGCCUAUCCUCUGACAUAAACAUAGAGUUCAUUCCCCUCAGACCCAGAUUUUGCCAAACAACAACGGUGUGGAAGGUCGAUGAUUACGACCACUCAGCCGGAAAAUGGUGGGUGAUAACCGAUGGGGUUAAAGGGAACCCAGGUGCCAACACUUUGACCAGUUGGUUUAGAAUAGAGAAGGCGGGUGAUCUUGAUUACCCAUUUAAGUACUGCCCCGCUGUAUGUGGAACAUGCCCAGCCUUAUGCAACAAAAUUACGAGAGACUCAGAUGGAGAAAUGAUACGUUUGGCUCUCUCCGCUGGCCAUGGAUGGCCAUUUUUCUUUAAGAAAUUUCAAACAUCAGCCAUGGAGAUUGAACAAGUUGUUCAUAAUUAGAUUGAAAGCAAUCAUUAUGCAUGAACUAGUAGUUACUAUACAAUAUUAGCUUCAAGUAAAUAAUGCUGGGAGAACUGAUUGUUAAGAUUGCCUUGUUUGAAGCAGCAGCAUGUAUAUAUAUAUGCUUGCUUACAAGGUUUGUCUCUCAGAGUCCUUCUCUUUGUACUCUUUUCAGCUUAAUAUAUAAACUGUCUACUUAUUUACUUCUUUUAUUGCCAUUGAUUCUAGUAGUAUUAGACUCAUUAACUUGGAUACAUUGUCUUGUAAGAGAUAGCUUAUCUCUUAACAACUGUUUGGGUCAACAAAAUUAAUGUAUAUAUGAAAACGAAUAUUGAAUUUGGAUGUCCAAUCAAUUUUUUUAAUUAAUUAAUUAAAAAGAAUUGUUUUAAUUCAAAAAAUCUAAAAGAAUUUGAUAAAAAAUGUGGAAGGGCACACUUGUAUGAUGAAUAGUAGUGAUAAUAAUGAUAGAAGUCGUUUUCCUAGCACAAGUAUGGGAUUCGUCCAUUUGGUUUUAUAUUUAUCCACUUGCCUGAGUGUUUAAGAGUUAAAAAGGACAAAACUAUUAAGUAGAAAACACCAAACGAAUUGGAAGGCUUUUGUCUUCUUCAAUUAGUAUGACCUAUAUUUCUUAUUAAACUUCGUAUUUUACAUUCAAUAUCAUCAUCGCAAUCAUUUUAAUUUAUUUUCAUGAAUAAACUUUUAUGUCCCAUUUUAAUUGAAUCAUUAAAAAUUAUUAAUUGAAUUUUUUUUAAGUCAAGUGAUACUAAUUUGAUUUUUUUAAAAAAGUUGUUUGAAUUAAUUUGAUUUCGUGUCAUAAUUGACAUAAAUGGCCAUUGUGAAUGGCAACAUCAAUAGUUAUUGAGUACAGCGGCUAAAAUUUUCAGUUAAAAAAAAAAGAAUGAAAGGAAAACAAAAAGAAAAACGUGGAAAGAAAGAAAGAAAGAAAGAAUAAUAAUAAUAAUAAUAAUAAUAAAUAAAAUAGAAUUGUGGGGGCGAUGCUUUUGAACAAAUCUUGAUUUAAACUAUAUAAAGAAAAUAUGUGUUAUAUAUAUAAUUAAUUAUGUACUUAUACUUAAUAUAUUAUAUAUCUAAUGUCAUAUUUUCAUAUUCUCAGGAAGUGGUGACAUACAAAUACUUGAUUCGAUUUAUUUCUUUAGCUCCCCGUGAAUUGUAUGUUUGUAACAUUAGGGAUAGAAUUUCUUCAAUUAUCCAAUUGACUGGACGUAUUGUGUCGAUUUUUUUUUAGUAAUAUACCUAGAAAUACCCGUUGAUUCUUUAUAAACGCUGUUUCGAACACAACUGGUACACUCUAAAAUAAUUUACUUGAACAUCAUUACUCUUAGCCAUGAACCUCCUUUGAGUUUUUAAUUCACCCAACUUUUUUAUUUUCCGAUCAAAAGCAAAGAAGAAAGGAAUGAAAAGAAAAGAAAGAAAUCAAAGUUGCUAACUCAAAACCAAAUCCUGAAAAUUUUCAUUUCAAUGAAUAUAGUAAGUAAAUAUAGAUUUAUAGUAAUAGCAAAUAAUAAGAAUUAAGUAAUAUAACGAUUUUUAAUUCUAUUUAGAAUCAAUUAAAAUAUUCAAAUAAAUAUUCAAUUAAAAUAAAUUAAACUGUAUAAAUUUUAUAAUUUUAAAUUAUUAUUUUUGUAUUAAUUUAAAAACAAAAUAAAUAUUAUAUACAAUGAUUUAGUUACAGCGUGUCAGCUUGAAGUCUAAGACUUUAUAACAUAUAAAUUUAAUAGAUAAUUAAUAACUAAAAAAUUAAAUAGCAAAAGCAUAAUUGCGCCACUUCUCACCAUUUUAAUGUAUGCAACUUAUUAUAUAUUUAUAUAUAUUAUCAUUUUAUUUUAAAUAAUUUAAUUUUAUAAAUUUAGGGAUAAAUCUCAAAAUUAUACAUGAACUUUAAUUUAAUAUGCAAUUGUAUAUAUAAACUUUAAUUUGGUACAAUUAUACACGUGAUACUUUAAUUGUGGUUUAAAUACUCACUUGAAACUUUAGUUUUGAUUUAAUAAUGCAUAUUUAAAUAAAUAAAUACAUCAAUUUUUUUAUAUUGGGUAAAUAUAAUUAUUUAUGUAUGCAAUAUAUAACAUAAAAUGAUGUUAUAUCAAUAAUUGUGUUAAUAAUUUUCAAGAAUUGGAUCAAAUCAAAAUUUCAUGUAUAAAAUUGAACAAAAUCAAAGUUAAUGUAUACAAUUGCACAUUAAACCAUAAUUCAUGUAUAUUUUUUUGUAUAUAUCCCAUAAAUUUAUUUCAUUAACUUUUUACCUAUAUCAUAUAUAGAGUUGUUCGUGAACCGAGCCAAGGAAUGCCUGCUCGAAAAAAUGAGAGGGUUUGGCAAAAAAAUAUAUGCCUAAAAAAUGGGCUUGGAUAAAAAGACAAGGCCCGUUUAGAAAAUGAACCGGCAUUGAGUAGGGUUUUUUUGUCCGGGCUCAGCCUAACCCGAAUUUUCAAUUAAAAAAAACCUUGUUGUUUUUGCUGCUAUUUUUCCAUAUCUUGGUGUUGUUUUCUCACUUUUUGCCGCUAUUUUACUACCAUUUCACUAUUAUGUUACUACUAUUUUUUUUAAUGUUUGGAUAUAGUAUAAUAAUUGUUUUAUUGUUAAUUUUAUCACUAUUUUAGAGACAUUUGUUUGUUAUGUUGUACUUAUUUUAGUUUUUAUUUAAGUAUAAAAAAAUUUAAAAUUUAUUUUCAAUUUAUUGAUAAACAUGUAAUUUAAUAUUUUCAGUGUAUUUAUUGUAUUAUAUUUGUUAAAUUUAUAUAAAAUUAAAAUUAAAAAAAUAUGGACCGAGAUGGGAGUUUAACAAAAAUUUAGGCCCAUUUUUCAAGUCGGGCCGAUCUCAAACCUAACAAUCGGACUUAAAAUUUUGUUAGAGCUCGGCCCAUCCCAUGAACAACUCUAAUUAUAUAUAUAUGUCAUUCUCUAAUAAUAAUAAUAAUAAUAAUAAUAAUAAGUGGAUAACAUAAAACUAGUAGUAAAGAGUAAGAAGACAAAGAAGAAUUAAGUGGAUAACAUAAAACGUGCGAAAACAUUUAUCUUCAAUUCUGACACAUAAAGCUAGUAUUUUUGGGUAAAGUAUAGAAAUGGUGAUUAAAUUAUUGUUGAUGUUCUAUUUUAAUUUUUAAUUUUUCUAUUUUAGUUAUUAAAUUAUUUGAAAUUAAAUUUUUUGGUUAUCAAAGGUUAACAGUAGUUUGAAAUUUAACAGAAAUAUUGAUGUGAACUUUUCUUAUUGAUUUAAUAAUAAAUUUAGCCUUCUAAUAUUUAUAUAUUCUAUUAAUUUGAUACUAAAUAUAAAAAUUUAACAAAUUUAACCUUCAAUAUUUACAAAUUUUGUUAUUUUAAUUCAAAUUCUAAAAAAAAUUUAAUAAAUUUAACCCUCAACAUUAAAAAAUUUGAUAAAUUUCAAUUUUUAAAAUUUUGUAAAUUCCUAAAAUAUAAAGCAUCAUUCUCCACCUCAUAGGAUUCCAUGUAAAUGGAUUUUCUUGAAUUCUUUACCAAGUUGUCUUGAGUUUAAUUUCUUCUUAUUUAGUUUGUGGAAUAAAUGGCAUAUAGUUAGAUGUCACUGCAGCUGACAAUGAAAGGUUUGACAAAGUUGAUAAAUUCAGAGCUUUUGAUGCUGAGCUUCAAAUCAGUCUUGCCUCCACUCACCCAAGAAAUCAACUUUACAAUUUUUAUUAAGUCUUAACUAGAUUAAUAUGAGUAUUGUUAUCAAUAUAGGAGAAAGUGAAUUUUAGUGCGUUGAAACACAUUAUCUUCUUAUUGAUGAAUUGAGGAGGGGCUAUGAAUAGUUUUAAAUAUUAUAUUAAAAAAGCAGAGAUAAUUGAAACCUACAAUAAUAUUGUUCAAAAAAAUUACCUAAAAACACGAAAUCUUACUCCCUGAAUUUUCUAGAAACACAAAUAUUUCUCCCUGCCUUUGAUGGUGUAUACAUGCAUGGCCAUGUGUGAGCUCCUGCAUUUUAACUAAUCAACACAGAUAAUACCCUCAAUGAGACAUUAAAAUUAACUUUUAUUUUUGUUUUUUCAUAAAUUUUAUAAUUUUGUAUUUCAAUGAAAAAAUCUAAAUCUAAGUUGAUCCGAGUCCAAAAAAAAAUCUGAAGCUGUAAAAAGUUUGAUCUGAGGCUGCUCAUUUGCCACCUCUAAUAACCAUUUGAUAGAGGUUUAAUAUAAAGGAAUUUAGAUUUUAGGAAUUUAUAAAAUUUUUAAAAUUAAUUUUUUAUUUGUAAAUACUAAGGGAUAAAUCUAUUGAAGUUUUUAAAAUUUGAACUGAAAUGUCAAAAUUUGUAAACAUUGAAGGCUAAAUUUGUUUAUUUUUUCUAUUUAAGACCAAUCUGAUAGAAUGUGUACACAUUAGAAGACUAAAUUUAUUAUUAGACCAAUAAAAAAAUGCCCAACUUAACGCUUUCUCAAAUUUCAAACCGAUGUUAAUAUUCAAUGACCAAAAUUUUUUAUUUCAAAUAGUUUAGUGACCAGAAUAGAAAAAAAAUUAAAAGUUUGAUGACCAAAAUAGAACGCGGAUAAUAAUUUAAUGAUAUUUUUAUACUUUAUCUGUUUUUUAUGAUUAUUUAUACAUAUCAAGUGGAGCUAAUUUAGGGAAAAGAAUCAAUGGUUAAGGUUGUUGUUGAUACUUAAUGAUCAGGGUCCAAAUUUUGCUAAUGUAAUUUUCCUUAUCAUAAUUUGUAUCUUAAUUUUGUUACCAAAAAAAUAUUAGUAAUAAAUAAUAUAUGCUCGAGAAAUGUACGUAUGAUUGAUUUAAACAAUACAUGUUGGAGUAAUUUACAUAUGGAUUUAAAAUAAAUUUUAAAAAUAAAAUAAAAUUUUAAAAAUCCAAAAGUAUUUUUUCUUUUAAAAAAAUUUAAAAAUAAUUUUUAAAUUAUUUACAUGAUUGAUUUAAAGGAUUUCUUUCUAUUAAUUAUUUUUAUAUUAAAUUUAUUUUCCUUUAUGUAUAACAUUUAAAGGGUUUGUAUAUAUGCUAACUCGCGAGUCAAUUAAAAUUUGUAUUAUAUUCAUUGAAUUUUUUUAAAAUAUAUAUUUUAUUAAUUUAUUUAUUUAUUUGAGACCCAUGAUAAACUUGUAUUUAAAGUUAUUGGUGCACACUAUAAAUUCAUAUAUUGAAAAUGAUAGGUGCUAAAAGUAACAUGUUUUAGUCUCAUUCUUAAUGUGUUUUUGGAUGAUUAUUCGAUAUAAAAUGGUUAAUUUUAUGCUACUAAACUUUUCAAUUUACGUUCUACACUUAAUAGAGCAUUUAGGAGCAAAAGAAGCGAAAAACGAGCGAAAAUAAAAAAAAUAGGAGCAAGUCUCAAAAGCCACACAGGCUGAGCCAUUCCACACGGGUUGGACACAUAACCGAGUGAGCCACACGACCAUGUGCUAGACUGUGUGGAAAUCGCAAAUUACACUCCAAACGGCGUGAAAACACGUUAAUUUUAAGGUUUUUUAAGCAUUUUAAUACCUAUACAUGACAAAGAUAAGAAGAGGGGAGAGAGUCGUCAGAAAAUAUUAAAGAAAACAACUUAAAAAACACCAUUGAAGCUAACUUUGAAGCAAAUUUUCAUCAAGAUUGAAGAUCUCAUUUUGAUUUUUUUGAAGUUUAUUAUGAGUUUCUUUAUUUAUUGUAGUUAUACUGUCUUUAGGAUGUUUUUAUUUGCUAUCAUGAACGAAUUUUCUAAAUACCUAGGGAGAUGAAUCCUAUCAUGAAUUAUGUUAUUUGAUUUCUAUUUUUACGUAAUAAAGACUUAGAUCUUAUUCUCAAUUAUGUGUGCUUAAUUCUUGGUUUAAUAUUUCUAGACUAUUAAUCAAUGUUUGAUGUGCUUAAAUCAGAGGAGGAAUAAACCCUAUUUAAGAGUAGAUCUAGCGUAAAUGAGUGGAGUUGCAUGCAAUCCUAGAAAUAGGACAACAUAAAUCUACCGUAAUAGAUCCAAAUCUAAUAGGGGAAUCUAUAGAUCGAGUUAAUACGAUGAUAGAGGUUUUAAUUAGAAAUAAAUUUCAGUUAAUUAACCUAGAGUCAGUUACUCUUAGUCUUGAAGAGAUAUAUUAGCAUAAUUUAGGGAUUUUUACAGAUCAAUAUUCUAAGUGACGAAGUUGUGUAAUAUAGAUUGAUAAUGACAUAUGAAGUCUAGGUAGAUUCUUUCCUAGGUAUUGUCUCGCUCUUGGUUAUUAUUUGAUUAUUUUCUUGAUUUGUGCUUUGUUGUGUUAUUUAGUUAACUAAUUUAGUUAAUUUUAGUUCCAACCAAUCACUCCAAUUUAUCAGUUAAAUAAUAGAAAAGACGGUAAUUACUGGUACUUUUAGUCUUUGUGAAAACGAUAUCUUUGCUCACUAUAACUAUACUAUUAAUUGAUGUGCACUUGUCUGAGUUAGAUUUUUAGUUGGUUUACGACUGCAAUCAAAAAACUCAUUAAGUUAGCACAAACUAAGUUAAUUAUUCGUUGGUUGCUUUAUUUUUUUUCCUGAAGUUUCGAUUUCAUCUUUCAUUAUGUACAACAAUUUUGGUAUAAAAAUAUCAAAUUCUCGACACUUAAUAUAUACCUUUGAAAUAUAAACACAUGCAUCAAUUUUUUUAGGUUCCUCACAACUUACUUGUCCAAAAUUCUUGUAUCUUUCAGUUCUCCUGAUUGAAUCAAAAUUUGACUUUGUAAUUAUUUUUUAAGGACCUCAAACUAUCAAUUUAUAGUAUAAAUUUUCAAUAGCUUUCAUUCUUUACAAAUUGGUCCCUAAUUAAUCAACAAUGGUAUUAAAGCUUAAGCUUAGGGUCCCGUUGUUUCACUGAAAAUGGCUUUCGAAAAAUAAUUUCUAGAAAAUGACUUACUUUCCUAGAAAAGUUAAUAUUUUCUGAUGUUUGGAUGAAUCAGUGUAAAAUAUUUUAUAUUGUUUGACAAAUUUCUUAAAAAUAUUUCAUAAAAGCUGUUUUCAAUGAAACAAACAUGCAUUUGAGAUUUUCUUAUCUUUUCAUUGUUUAAUUAAGUUUAUCUUAUAUCUAUAAAUUUAUAUUUUACAUUUUUUUGCAUAUAAUAAAAAUAUAUAUUUUUUAAUUCAGGUUCACUACCAUGUCACUUUUUAGUUACAUGACUACCAAGUGAGUAUUUUUUUUAUUUAAAAAUGUGACAUCAACAAAAUUGACAAAAAAAAAAUUUAGCAAUGUCAACAAUUGGACUUGAUUUUCAAAUCUGAAAAGUAGAGGGACUAAAUUCUUGAAAAUAAAAGUAUAGAGACUAAAUUGAAAAUUUGUGAAGAAUACAUAGACUUAUCACAUUUUUUAACUUUUAUACUACAAAAUAUUUAUCAUUAAUAUAUUUAUAAUUAUAAUAAAUAUUUAUUAUUAAAAUAUUAAUAUUAAAUAUUUUCAAUAAGAAGAAUAUUAUUUAAAAUUAUUUUUUUUAAUUUUUUAUUAAAAUAAAAUUGAAAUAUUAAAUAAUUUAUUAAAAUAAUUAAUUUUAUUAAUAAUUAAUUUUAUGACUAAAUAUAAAUAAUUAAAUAUGUGUGUUUAAUAAUAUUGAAAUAUAUAAUAUUUUAUAUUAAUAUUUUAAAUAUUUUUAAAAAUAAAAAUAAAAUUUAUUUUCAAUAUAAUAAUAUUAAUAUUGAUUUAAAUGAAUUUUUAUAUAAAAAUAAAAUUACCUAUAGAUGAGCUCUUUUCCAGAAAAUGACUUACACUUUUCAAAAGGAUAAGUCAUUUUAUAGGAAAAAGAGUUCAAUUUUACAUUGACCUGUAAGUCAUUUUCCGAUGACCAAAAUGUUUUCUGUAAAAUAAACAUAAGAAAAUGAAGAAAAUAUUUUCCGUAAAACCUUUUACAUGUAAACAAACGGACCCUUAAUUCAAGCUUGUUCUAACAUAACCCACUUCACUAUUAGCAUGACUCUUCCUUAUACUAUGUUUAACCAUUAACCCUUCUCAUGAUUUCUAACAAAAAUUCUCUAAGUUCUCUUUAAUGGAAACUUCUAUUAGCUUCAACAAUAAGAAAUUCUAACCAUUGGGUUGGUUGUAUCAAGUUUCAUAGUUUAAAAAACUAUAAAAAAAUUAUUUAGAAAACAAUUUGUUUACCUUUGAUGGCCUUGAUGGAGAACAACUUGGUUUCUUCUUCUACUUAGUUUAAAGAAUGCAUGAAGAAGAAGAAGAUUUCCCCUCUCCCUCUAUCUUAAAUAUAUAUAUAAAUAACCUAUUAAUCAAGGUAAUUAACUCACUAAUUAAUCUUAAUUAGUUAUGAUCUAAUGGCCAUAAACUUACCAUAAGAAAAUUAGUGGAAAUGUGUGGCAUUGAUAAUGGUUUGCCAAUAAUCAAACUUCGGGCAUGGUAAUAUUGCAAUCAGGUCCUUGGUUUAAUUACACUUUAAGUACUUGCUAAAUUCUCUAAUCAAUUCCCACUAGUUGGAUCACUUGAACAAUUGGGUCCAUGUAUUAUAGUUACAACUUAUCUAAUUUAAUCAAUUAAUGAUUUGACUUUAUAAUUUCAUGUGCAACACACAAACUCCUCCGGUAAAUUCUCAAGCUAGCUUUAUUUAAAAAUUUGGCCUCAAAACCAGCUUUCCAAAUGUUCAUGAAAAUUGAGUUGUUACAUUAUGGUAUUUGUUUUGUUCAGCUUAUUUGUCAAGCUCUAUUCCUUUGAACUUAUGUUCGUUGACUUUGGUGUUGCUUAAAUGAAAAUGUGGUGAACAAUAUUAUGGAUAGGAGGAGUGUAUGAUUGAGUAUGUGUAACACCCCUAACCCACAUCCUUCGCCAAAUUAAAGUGACAGAGUGUUAUUAUUCAAAACAGAACAUUCCAUGACAACACAUAAACAAUUAUGCAAAUUAUCACAAUCAUUAAUUAACCAUAUUAAAAUAUAACAUAAGUAUCCAUACGACCUUUAAAUCGAGCUUAUAUGGCCUUAAAAAUAGCUUGGGAUCAAUCUAGGAUCAAUUUGGAACAUAACAUAAAUUUUAAGAAAAAUCUAAAAAUUUUGGGAAACAUGGGUCACACAACCGUAUGUCCAGGCCGUGUGACAUAGCCCAGACCUUGUGGGAAUUCAAAAUCAGGACACUCAAUCAUGUCCUAGCCCGUAUGUCUACCUGUGUGAAUAUUUGAAAUAGGGUCCCACAGUCGUGUCGCGGCCAUGUGCUAAACCGUGUAUAUAUUCAAAUUAUGAACACAUGGCCGUGUCGCAAGCCAUGUGCUAGACCGUGCUCAAAACUAUUUUGAGACACACAGCUGUGCCUUAGGCUGUGUGAAAUUUUCACUUUAGACAACGACACACAGCCGUGUGCCAGACCAUGUACACCAAAAUGUACCUUAAAAAUCAAAUUUACCAAAACAUGUUUACUUAGGCAUCAAGCAACCUAAUUACCAUCAAUCAAACUCAUUCAAAACACAAUUAAACAGGUUCAAAACAUCCAUCCUAAGUGCCUAGCCAUUGUGCCCUCAUUGACAUCAUAAUUCAAUAAUCAAAUCAAUCACAUUUAAACCAAGAUUUAAACAUUCAAAUUAUAAAAUCAUCAUUAACCAUUCAUACCAAAACACUGAUCAUUUCAAGUCAUAAACACCUAGCAAUAUUCACAUACUUUAUAAAGCUUAACUACCAAUACCAAAUAAGAUCCAUACACACAUACAUACCAAACAAAACACAUAUUCACAAGUAUCAUUCAAGAUUUACAACUUUACAUGUAAUUAACAUAAUUUCAAGUCAAUUAUUACAUGUCAUACAACCCAAAACAAACACUAAACAAACUACCAAUAGUUUCUCGAAUAGUGUGAUUCUUGAAAUCAAAUUGAUCACCCGAAGCGUCAAAAAUAAAUCUACAAGAAAGCAUUGGAAGAGACACAAGAGUAAGCUUACUUAAGCUUAGUAAUUUCCAUGGAUUUAAACAAUCAACUUACCGGAUAAACUUAUCUAAUAUAGAGUAUAGAAAAGUCAUAAAUCAUAAUCAUGUCAUCCAUAAUCAGAUCACGAGUGAGUCUUAAACUUAAAUAUGAAUGAAUUAAUUCAAUCAAUUACAUUAUAUCACUAAAUUAUACCCGAUGAACGUUGCAAUGGAUUUGGAUACACAGUUAACCAACCAAACACUCCAAAUCACUCAAAUGAGCUAGCCAUCUGAAAGUACACAUGGGCACCAAGUGCCAAGCCCAUAGGCUAACAUCCCUCCGAAACACACCUUGUCACCAAGUGCCAAGCCCGUAAGCUUUACAUCUGCCCCAGAAACACACCUGAAGCACUGCAAUAUAACGUAAUAGUUCGCAACAAAUGUUGAACUUCAAUAUAUUCAAUAAACAUGAAUAAGAUCAGAAUCAUCAUCUCCACAUCCACCAAUCUCGUAAAGCGCACGAUAUAACUUAUUGACAUGCCAAUUGUAUCCUAUCAUACAUUCAUCGGCUCACAUAUUUGUCAUUUAACAACAUUUAAUACAAUUUCUUUCCCAAAUCAUUUCACUUACCACAAUUCAAUACUUCCAUGUCAUUUAAUAAUUUCAAUCCACAAGUAAUUAAAUAUUUAAAUUAUACUAAAAUUAAACUGUACAAACUCACUAGGGCCAAAUUGCAGAAACAACAAAAGUUCAGGGACUAAUCAACAACCUUCCCUUUUUCCACAAUUAUCAACUUGAUCUUGAUCUAUAAUAUAAUUUAUUUCAAUUAUUAGCCUCAAUUUUCAUAUUCUAAUCAUUUCAAAACAUAUGAUCUCUUAUUUAUAAAUUUACACAUUUAUCCCAAAUUUUUACAUAUUAUACAAUUUAAUCCCUAUGACCAAAUCAAGCUUAGUUCUACAAUUAAAUUCUCAAUCCAUAGAACUAAAUUUUAACCACAUCCAAAACAAUCCAUAUAUGCUAAAAUUUUCAAGAGUAACAUGUCUAUUUCAGUUAAAUCACUAAACAUCAAAUUUUGUAAAAAUCACUUACAAACUCAAUACAUAUGGUCACCAAGCUUCAACCCAAACUAUUUACUACUACAAAUCUUCGAAAAUUUCAAUACAUAAUUUCUAUACUUUGAUAACUUCACAAAUAAACUCCAAAACUAGCUAAAUUCCAUUAUCAAUAGCUCAAAACUUAAAAUUUGAUGAUGAAUAAACCAAGAAAAUACUUACAUGCAUUAAAAACUAACAAAAACCAAGAUCCAAGCCUUAGAACAAUGGUGUUUCGGCCAAACCUAAGAAAAAUAAAGAAGAUGACCACUACCCCACUUUUGUUUUACUUUCCUUUUAUUAUUAUAAUAAUCUUUAUUUAUGAAAUUAUAACAUUAUAAAACACCAAUUUAAUUUUUUUUCUCUCUUUACCGCCCAUAUUAACUAACUAUGGGCUAAUGGCAACAUAACCUCCCUUAGUUUACUAAUUUAAGCUAUUAUAUUAAAAUAAAUCUAUAAUAAGCAACUUUUCCACCUAUUACAUAUUAAUCUUUUUUCUUUAAUCAAUUCACUAUACGUUAAAUUUUCUAAACCAAAACUUAAUACGACACUGAUGACUUUGUAAAUAUUAAAUAAUUAAUAAUUCUAGACUGACACGUCGAAAGUGUAGUCCUAAAACUAUUAUUUUCGACACCACUGGAAAUCGAACUGUUAUAGUAUGAUUCUACCUCUUAGGGGGAGACGUAUUCUAGUUUCCUUUGACUUGUUUAGAUGAUGUGUUAAUCAUUUGCUACUGGUUUUGUCAAAAUGCCAAAUGGUGAGAUUGUUUCAAACUUUGUUCAUGUUCGAACAUUAGAUUAAACAAUGCUUAAUUUGAUGCAUUCAAAGAAUUUAUGUUGGCAUGUUUGACUUUAUAAUGAAAUGGCUUAUGAUUUAAUCUCGUUGAGUAGCAAAUGGGGAAGUGAUUUUGUGUUAUAACAUGUGAUGAUCAUUAUCUUUCAAUCAACUACCUUGAAGAAGAAUGGGAGGAGUUUGAACUUUUGUGGACUUUCGUAAUAUUUGAAGCUGCUAAGAUACUUGUUUAUAAAGACUUUUAUGAUAUAACUAAUCAAAAUAAUUCAUGUCAGAAUUUUUGGAGUUUUAAACUUAUGAAGACUCUAGUAUUGGCCUAUAAAUAGGCAUAAUUACCGCACAUUGAAAAUAGGCUUUUGGAGGGUUUAAGUUGGAUGCUUUGGUGAAUUUUUCCUGUGUUUUAUACAACACUCUUUUUUAAGUUUUUAUUGGGGGAUAUUUGCUUGAUUGUAAGUGAGAUAUUUUGGAGAGAGUGAUUUGUAAUAAUUUAGGUUCAAUAUUGAAGUUGCAAAUAACUACAAGGUAAUGGUAAUUUGGACUCUAGUCAAUAGUUAAUCAAGACGAAUUGUAAAUAAAAAUUAUUUUUUAAGUGAAACUUUACAGAAUAAAACUAGUGAACUCAAACUACGCUAACAAAUAUUAUAUACUAUCUUUCCUUACUUUACUCGUUGCUUUACCUUAUUUUAAAAUUGCUUUGUCAUAAAUGUAUUAUGUUUGACCCUUUCCGAUCGAAAUAAAAAAAUGAGAUUGAAAUUGUGAUAAAGCUAAAAAAAAGUUACAACAAAUAUGAUUAAUAUUAUUUUUAUAUAUACUUACUAAAAUUUAAAAAGGAAUUACAUUUAUCGAAUAUUAUUUUAUUUAAUAAAUAUAAUUAAUAUAUUUUAUAUAAAAUUUAAACUUUUUAUUAUUUGUUAGCUAAAUUUUAUUAUUUUUAUUUUCUUUAUGAAUAAAAUUAAUUUUCCUAAAAUUUGAGAUAAAAAAAUGUUAUAUAGAAAAUUAAAUUAGUAAAAAGUGCAGUUCAUACUUUAUAAUUAUUAUAAAUGAAAAAAUAUUAUAAAAGAUAAAUAUUAAACAUAAAAAAAUCAAUUCUAAAAUAAACUUAACUAUUAUAAUAAAAUAUUUUUAUAUAAAAAAGAAAUUAUAGAAAAGACUUACUGAUUAUAUUUCCAAUUUUCGACAUUCAUAAAAAAAAAGUGGUCCUAAUAAUUUAUUUAUACAAAAAAAAAAGUGGUCCUAUUAAUUAACCUCACAUUUGAAAUGUGUUAUAUGUAAUAAUAUUAAUAUCUUUAUCAAUUUUGGAGGUUCAUCCUUUCCCAUCUCUAUAAAUUCGCAUGGAGAAAUAAAGCAAUACAUCAACACAAUCUGUAUAACCAUGAAAACCACAACAGCUUCAGUGUUUCUUCUUUUCAUCAUCUUCUCAGUCACACCAUCAUCCUUUUUGUUUGGUGUAGCCAACGCUACAAACGAACCUGUACUCGACUUUGAUGGCAACGAGGUUCAAACAGGCACCCCAUAUUACGUUGUGUCGUACAUAUGGGGUGCUGGUGGUGGGGGGCUUGACCUAGGCAGGCCUAGUGGAAACCCAUGCCCGGAAGUCGUUGCUCAAAGAGGAUCCGGUGACAAUGGUAUUCCGGUGAUAUUUUCUAAUUCGGACUCCAACGAUGGCGUUGUUCGCCUAUCCUCUGACAUAAACAUAGAGUUCAUUUCCCUCAGACCCAAACUUUGCCGAACAACAACAGUGUGGAAGGUCGAUGAUUACGACCAUUCAGCCGGAAAAUGGUGGGUGAUAACCGAUGGGGUUAAAGGGAACCCAGGUGCCAACACUUUGACCAGUUGGUUUAGAAUAGAGAAGGUGGGUACUGAUUUUCAAUAUUACACAUUUAAGUACUGCCCCGCAGUAUGUGGAACAUGCCCAGCCUUAUGCAACCAAAUUGUGAGAGACUUUGAUGGAGAAAUGGUACGUUUGGCUCUCACCACUGGCCAUGGAUGGCCAUUUAUCUUUAAGAAAGUUGGAAAAUCAGCCAUGGAGAUUGAACAAGUUGUUCAUAAUUAGAUUGAAAGCAAUCAUUAUGCAUGAACUAGUAGUUACUACAUAAUAUUAGCUUCAAGUAAAUAAUGCUGAGGGAACUUAUUGUUAAGAUUGCCUUGUUUGAAGCGGCAGCAUGUAUAUAUAUAUGCUUGCUUACAAGGUUUGUCUCUCAGAGUCCUCCUCUUUGUACUCUUUUCAGCUUAAUGAAUAAACUGUUUACUUAUUUACUUCUUUUGUUGCCAUUGAUUCUAGUAGCAUUCGACUCAUUAACUUGGAUACAUUACCUUGUAAUUAACCAAAAAGUUAUGUGUAUAUAUAUAAAGAGUGUGUGAGAGAAAAAAUAGAAUACCAAGUACCAAGUGAAAAAUGUUAAUACUAGGAUUAUUCAAAGCGAUUUCAAUGAACAGAAAUGGAAUAGUCGUCGGGUGGUUAGGGCAUUUUAUCUUUAGAGAUAAAGAAGGUUGGUUCAUGUUCGGAGUUUGUGGCUACUCCUUCAAUAAUAUCGUUUUUAAAGUUUAAACUUGUAUCACAUUUUAAACACGUAAUGUAUCUUACCAUUACAUCCAACAAUAUUAACCAUUUACUCUAUUGUAUUGUAUUGUAUUCUAUUAUUAAUUAAUGAUUAUGAUAUGUAUUAAGUUUAAGAUGAAUUUUCUCAGUAAUAUAUAUCAAUGGAAUCAAAUAUUUGUAUUUAAAGUUUUAACUCCACAUUAACUUUUUCUUUAUUUUGUCCGUUUGCUGGCGAUGAUUAGGAGAUUAAUGGUUGGUAUUUGUGGUUAGUAGGUUAUAACUCAAUAGUGAACUCGAGGGUUGAUAGUGGCCCGACUCCACUUAAAUAAAAAAUUUUACAUUUAAAUCUCUUUAUAAUUUAUAAAAUUUUAAAUUAAUAAUAAAAAAAUUAUAUUUUAACUCUCUAAAAUUAAUAAAAAUGAUAAAAAUGUAGAAGUAAAUUUAUACAAUUAAUGAUAAUAAUGAUAAGAAGUUGUUUCCUGUCACAUGGAAAUUUAUGGCAUCGUCCAUUUGGUUUUAUAUUUGUCCAUUUGCUUGGUUAAGAGUUGAAAGACAAACUAUAAUUAAGUAUACAAAACCAAACGAAUUUCAAGGGUUUUCUCUUCAAUUAUUGUCGAAUUUAGCUAAUUAUUAGUAAUUUUUAUUAUUUAAUUAUAAAAAUUAUAAAAUAAUGACUUAAUUAUAAGAAUUAUAAAAUAGUGACUUAAUUAUAAAAAUAUAUAUAAAUAGCCAUCUAAUUAUUUAAUUUUUUUUCUUUUUUAUCAUCACCGGAUUAAUGGUGGUAAUUUUUAUAAUUGACAUAAUAGUAACUUUAACCAUUAAUAAUUAUACAUUAUGUCAAUUUAGUCUUGAUUCUAAAAAAUUUAACCUUUGACAUUUACACAUAUAUAAUUUGACAUUUUUAUAAUUUUAUUUUUUACUAAAAAUAAAUCAUGAAAAUAAUAAAAUAUGCAUAAAAAUAAAAAUACAGCUACCGAGUAUAUGUCUUAAUGUAGAUUUAUAACAAUUAUCUUUUCAUAAAGAUAUUUUAUUAUAAAAUAUAUAAUAAGCACUUCCCUGUAACAAAUAAAAUUGUAGUAAACAAAUGAAAUUAUUAUAAAGAAGAAUUUUCUAUUUUCAUAAUAAUAAUAAUAAUAAUAAUAAUAAAAGAAAAGAAAAAAGUGGUUCUAUUAAUUCACCUCACAUUUGAAAUGUGUUAUAUGUAAUAAUAUUAAUGUCUUUAUCAAUUUUGGUGGUUCAUCCUUUCCCAUCUCUAUAAACACUACACCAGAAUAGGUUUUUAGCGGCGUUUUUUAGGCCUUUAGCGACGCUUAUUAACGCCACUAAAUCUAUUUCCGGCACUUACAAAAAAAAGCCGCUAAAGAUCAUGUUCUUUAGCGGCGCUUAGGAAAAAACGCCGCAAAAAAUCAUGUUCUUUAGCGGCGCUUAGAAAAAAACGCCGCUAAAGAUCAUGUUCUUUAACGGCGCUUAGAAAAAAACGCCGCUAAAGAUCAUGUUCUUUAGCGGCGCUUUGGAAGAAAACACCUCUAAAAGUAAUGUUCUAUAGCGGCGCUUGUUCAAAAACGCCGCUAAAAGUAGUGUUCUUUAGCGUCGCUUGUUUCACAAACGCCACUGUUUUGAUAUGACUUUUAGCGGCGCUUUUUUAAAAAAUGUCACUAAUUUUGGGAUUUUUUUAAAAUAAAAUUUUCUGUUUUUUUCAGCCCUCCUGCAACAACAAAUCAAAAGCAACCAGAUCUAAACUAACCAAAAAUAAUAAAUUUAUAUAAUAUUUCAAAUUAAAUGAAUAAAAUAAUAUUAAUUGAUAUAAAUAAAAGUGAAUUUCAGACUUUUCUUUACAAAAACGUUAAAAGUAUUUAUGCAACAUACACUAUGACGGCGGAAGUUGCGACUGCUGAAACAUCUUCAUCAUAAUCUAAAGCUGCUGUUGAAGUUCGUCGUACUUUUUGCUCUACUUUGCUUCUCUCGAUGCCGCAUCUUUUUGAAGCCGUAGCUGUAGUUCUUCACAUUUCUUUUGAACCUCUGCUUCUAUCGCUGCUUAUCUCGCUACGGCAUCUGCUUCCCUCACUGCUGCCUCUGAUUUAAGUUGUUGCUGAAGUUCUUCAUAUUUCCUUUGAACCUCAAAUGUGGUCGCUUGCAUCUGAGUCAUCUAGUCUUUUAACCUCUGAACUUCAGCUUGAGACUGACUCCCCGAAGCCAUGUAUUGGUGCGAGCUGGAUCCAAAAUAUUGGGUUGGGCUGAUAAAAGAUCCUUGAAAUCGAACCCGACCAUACUUUUCAGGACCCAAAACUUUAGUAAUAAUCCGGUUAUCAAUGUCUUCAAGAUGAAUAGAACUAUCACUAGAAGCAAUCGUUUCGUACUCUGUCUUUUUUUCCUUCAGUUUUUCCUAAUAAAUAAAUCACAUAGUUAGGAACGCAAUAUAUAGUAAAAAAAACAAAUGCAAUAUAACAAUAGUCGCAUUACAAGCAAUGAAUUAAACCAUUAGAAAAUAAACACUAUAAAUAACUAAAACAAGUGAAAUCGUAUUAAGUAAACGUACCAUAAUUUCACCAGCUUCAGGAGUCAUAGCAGAUCCAUCUUUCUUCUUAUGUGUAAUUUCAAAAAGUUGAAGGCGUCCAACUUUUUGAUCGGACGACCGUUCCUACAACACUCUUUUUUAAGUUUUUAUUGGGGGAUAUUUGCUUGAUGUAAGUGAGAUAUUUUGGAGAGAGUGAUUUGUAAUAAUUUAGGUUCAAUAUUGAAGUUGCAAAUAACUAUAAGGUAAUGGUAAUUUAGACUUUAGUCAAUAGUUAAUCAAGACGAAUUGUAAAUAAAAAUUAUUUUUUAAGCGAAACUCUACAGAAUAAAACUAGUGAACUCAAACUACUGAACUCAAACUACGCUAACAAAUAUUACAUAUUAUCUUUCCUUACUUUACUUGUUGCUUUACCUUAUUUUAAAAUUGUUUUGUCAUAAAUGUAUUAUGUUUGAACCUUUCCGAUCGAAAUAAAAAAAAUGAGAUUGAAAUUGUGAUAAAGCUAAAAAAAGGUUACAACAAAUAUGAUUAAUAUUAUUUUUAUAUAUACUUAAUAAAAGUUAAAAAGGGAAUUACAUUUAUUGAAUAUUAUUUUAUUUAAUAAAAUAUAAUUACUAUAUUUUAUAUAAAAUUUAAAUAUUUUAUUGUUUGUUAGUUAAAUUUUAUUUUUUUUUAUUUUCUUUAUGAAUAAAAUUAAUUUUCCUAAAAUUUGAGAUAAAAAAUGUUAUAUAGAAAAUUAAAUUAGUAAAAAGUUAAAAAAAUCAAUUCUAAAAUAAACUUAACUAUUAUAAUAAAAUAUUUUUAUAUAAAAAAAAAGAAAUUAUAGAAAAGACUUAUUGAAUAUAUUUCCUAUUUUCGACAUUCAUAAAAAAAAAAAAGUGGUCCUAAUAAUUUUUUUAUACAAAACAAAAAAAAGUGGUCCUAUUAAUUUACCUCACAUUUGAAAUGUGUUAUAUGUAAUAAUAUUAAUAUCUUUAUCAAUUUUGGAGGUUCAUCCUUUCCCAUCUCUAUAAAUUUGCAUGCAGAACUAAAGCAACACAUAUCAACACAAUCUGUAUAACCAUGAAAACCACAACAGCUUCGGUGUUUCUUCUUUUCAUCAUCUUCUCAAUCACACCAUUGUCCUUUUCGUUUGGUGUGGCCAACACUUCAAACGCUCCUGUGCUCGACAGUGAUGGCAACGAGCUCCGCACAGGCACCCCAUACUUCGUUGUGUCGUCGAUAUGGGGUGCUGGUGGUGGGGGGCUUGCCCUAGGCAUGCCUAGAGGAAAGCCAUGCCCGGAAGUCGUUGCUCAAAGAGGAUCUGGUGACGAUGGUAUUCCGGUGAUAUUUUCUAAUUCGGACUCCAACGAUGGCGUUGUUCGCCUAUCCUCUGACAUAAACAUAGAGUUCAUUCCCCUCAGACCCAGAUUUUGCCAAACAACAACGGUGUGGAAGGUCGAUGAUUACGACCACUCAGCCGGAAAAUGGUGGGUGAUAACCGAUGGGGUUAAAGGGAACCCAGGUGCCAACACUUUGACCAGUUGGUUUAGAAUAGAGAAGGCGAGUCAUCUUGAUUACACAUUUAAGUACUGCCCCGCAGUAUGUGGAACAUGCCCGGCUUUAUGCAACAAAAUUGCGAGAGACUUAGAUGGAGAAAUGAUGCGUUUGGCUCUCUCCACUGACCAUGGAUGGCCAUUUUUCUUUAAGAAACUUCAAACAUCAGCCAUGGAGAUUGAACAAGUUGUUCAUAAUUAGAUUGAAAGCAAUCAUUAUGCAUGAACUAGUAGUUACUAUACAAUAUUAGCUUCAAGUAAAUAAUGCUGAGAGAACUGAUUGUUAAGAUUGCCUUGUUUGAAGCAGAAGCAUGCAUAUAUAUAUGCUUGCCUACAAGGUUUGUCUCUCAGAAUCCUCUUUGUACUCUUUUCAGCUUAAUAUAUAAACUGUCUACUUAUUUACUUCUUUUAUUAAUGUCAUUGAUUCUAGUAGUAUUAGACUCAUUAACUUGGAUACAUUGUCUUGUAAUUAACCCAAAAAUUAUAUAUAUAUCAAAAAAAAAAAUGAGAGUGAGAGAGGAAAAUAGACUACCAAGUAACAAGUGAAAAAUGGUAAUACUAGGGUUAUUUAGAGUGGUUUCAAUGCACAACCGGAAUGAAUUGUUACCUUAUCUUUAGAGUCAAAGAAGGGUUCGUGACUAGUCUUUCAACAAUACUAUUUUCAAGGUUCAAACCUGCAUUAUCCUUUAAAUACGUAAUGUAUUUUAUCAUUACGCUCAAUAUUAUUAGUGAUUUACUUUAUUCUAUUCUUAAUUAAUAAUUAUGAUAUAUAUAAAGUUUAAGAUGGAUUUUCUUAUUUAUGUAUAUCAAUUAAAUCAAAUAUUUGUAUUUAAAGUUUUAACCCAACAUUAACUUUUUUUUUAAAAAUUUCUUCGUUUGUUGGUGGUGAUUAGGAGAUUGAUGGCCGGUCUUUGUGAUUGGUAGCUUUUAACACAAUGGCGAAGCUAAGGAGGCUUUAAAUGUUUAAAUGAAUAUUUUUUUCAAUUGAAAUUUCUUUAUAAUUUAUAAAAUUUUAAAUUAAUAAUGAUAAAAUUACAUUUUAAUUUUUUAAAAAUGAUAAAAACGUGGAAGCACAUUUGUACGAUUAAUAAUAAUGAUAAUAUUUUUCCUACCACAUGGAAGUUUAUGGAAACACCAUUGGGUUUUGUAUUUAUGUUUUAUUCGACACUCUUAUAAGUUUUACUGGGGAGAUUUGUUUGAUUGUAAGUGAGGUAUUUUGCGGAGAGUGAUUUAUAAUAAUUUAAAAUUAAUAUUGGGGUUACAAAUAACUAUGGGAGUAAAGUAGUUUAGACUUUAGCUAAUAAUUGAUCAAGAUGGAUUGUAGAAUAAAAUCAUUUUCGAAGCAAAAUUUUAUAAAAUUAGUAAAUCUGAAUUAUUCUAUAAUAUUGAUAUUAUCUUUCUUCACUUUAGCCCUUGCUUCACCUUAUCUCAAAAUUAUUCUAUAAUAAUCUAUUUUGUCUCAACCUUUUCAACAGAAUUUAAAAUGAAACUAUUUCUAUGAAGUGCAAACCAAAAACUUUUUCACAUACCAAUAAAUGGCAAGCAACCAUACCGUGGGCCCAAUGUCCCAACAAUCAUCUAAACAUUUUUUUUUUCUUUUUUAAAUAAUAUGUAAUAAUUUAUAUACCAUAAAUGAAUAUUAAUUAAAAUAAUAUAAACAAAAUACGACUCUUUAAUAUAAUAUGGAUCCAAAAUGUUUCAUAUUUGAAAUGCAGUUUUUGAUAAUUUCACAUUUCAUAUUUUAUCUUAGAACAAAAAGAAAAUUUGAACUUAAUAUUUGGACUAUUGAUCAAUGGUGUUUAUUAUAUUUCAAGACUAUCAGAUUAAUCUGUCGAUACUACUUAUAUGGUAUGGUUUAAAUGGGUGUGUGUGGAUAUAGAAAUUUGAAAUUCUAUUGUAUCAAAGAAAUUUUUUUUAAAAAUAAAAUAAAAAGGAAUUUGAAAUUUAAAAUUUGAGAUCAAAAUAAAAAAAAUGAGACUUGUUAUAAACCAUAAGGCUCAAAAAAGGUUACAACAAAUAUGGUUAAUAUUAUUUUUAUAUAUACUUAAUAAAAGUUUAAAAUAUCAAAUUUGUAAUAUUAUUUUUAUUUAAUAAAAUAUAAUUAAUAUAUUUUAUAUAAAAUUUAAAUAUUUUAUUGAAAUAUUAUGUUAGGUAAAUUUUAUUAAUUUUAUUUUCUUUAUAAAUAAAAUUAAUUUUAUUAAAAUUUGAGAUAAGAUAAUUAAAUUAAUAAAAGGUAUACUUCAUAUUUUAUAGUUAUUAUAAAUAAAAAAUUAUUAUAAAAAUUAAAAAAAAAGAAUUCUACAACAUAAUGAAAUAUUUUUAUUAAAAAAAACAGAAAUGAUUGAUGGAAUAUAUUUCCAAUUUUCGACGUUCAUUAAAAAAAAAAGAGUGGUCCUAAUAAUUGAUUUAUUGGGGAAAAAAAAGUGGUCCUACUAAUUUACCUCACAUUUGAAAUGUGUUAUAUGUAAUAAUAUUAAUAUCUUUAUCAAUUUUGGAGGUUCAUCCUUUCCCAUCUCUAUAAAUUCGCAUCGAGAAAUAAAGCAAUACAUCAACGCAAUCUGUAUAACCAUGAAAACCACAACAGCUUCAGUGUUUCUUCUUUUCAUCAUCUUCUCAGUCACACCAUCAUCUUUUUUGUUUGGUGUAGCCAACGCUACAAACGAACCUGUACUCGACAUUGAUGGCAACGAGGUUCAAACAGGCACCCCAUAUUACGUUGUGUCGUCCAUAUGGGGUGCUGGUGGUGGGGGGCUUGCCCUAGGCAGGCCUAGCGGAAACCCAUGCCCGGAAGUCGUUGCUCAAAGACGAUCCGGUGACGAUGGUAUUCCGGUGAUAUUUUCUAAUUCGGACUCCAACGAUGGCGUUGUUCGCCUAUCCUCUGACAUAAACAUAGAGUUCAUUCCCCUCAGACCCAAACUUUGCCGAACAACAACGGUGUGGAAGGUCGAUGAUUACGACCAUUCAGCCGGAAAAUGGUGGGUGAUAACGGAUGGGGUUAAAGG